AGGUGACAUUAAGGUUCAGGAAACUGGCCUGUAGAGAGGUAACAUUAAGGUUCAGGAAACUGGUCUGUAGAGAGGUGACAUUAAGGUUCAGGAAACUGGCCUGUAGAGAGGUAACAUUAAGGUUCAGUAUAAUAGAGGAACAGGAAACUGGCCUGUAGAGAGGUAACAUUAAGGUUCAGUAUUAUAGAGGUUCAGGAAACUGGCCUGUAGAGAGGUAACAUUAAGGUUCAGUAUUAUAGAGGUUCAGGAAACUGGCCUGUAGAGAGGUAACAUUAAGGUUCAGGAAACUGGCCUGUAGAGAGGUAACAUUAAGGUUCAGUAUUAUAGAGGAACAGGAAACUGGCCUGUAGAGAGGUAACAUUAAGGUUCAGUAUUAUAGAGGUUCAGGAAACUGGCCUGUAGAGAGGUAACAUUAAGGUUCAGUAUUAUAGAGGUUCAGGAAACUGGCCUGUAGAGAGGUAACAUUAAGGUUCAGGAAACUGGCCUGUAGAGAGGUUCAGGAAACUGGCCUGUAGAGAGGUAAUAUUAAGGUUCAGUAUUAUAGAGGUUCAGGAAACUGGCCUGUAGAGAGGUAACAUCAAGGUUCAGUAUUAUAGAGGUUCAGAAAACUGGCCUGUAGAGAGGUAACAUUAAGGUUCAGGAAACUGGCCUGUAGAGAGGUAACAUUAAGGUUCAGUAUUAUAGAGGUUCAGGAAACUGGCCUGUAGAGAGGUAACAUUAAGGUUCAGUAUUAU